UAACUCCGUGCCAGCAGCCGCGGUAAUACGGAGGAUCCAAGCGUUAUCCGGAAUCAUUGGGUUUAAAGGGUCCGCAGGCGGUCUUUUAAGUCAGAGGUGAAAGCCUACAGCUCAACUGUAGAACUGCCUUUGAUACUGAAAGACUUGAGUUAUUGUGAAGUGGUUAGAAUGUGUGGUGUAGCGGUGAAAUGCAUAGAUAUCACACAGAAUACCGAUUGCGAAGGCAGAUCACUAACAAUAUACUGACGCUCAUGGACGAAAGCGUGGGGAGCGAACAGGAUUAGAUACCCUGGUAGUCCACGCCGUAAACGAUGGAUACUAGCUGUU
rnacentral:rRNA from 1 species